rnacentral:rRNA from 1 species
CCUGGUUGAUCCUGCCAGUAGUCAUAUGCUUGUCUCAAAGAUUAAGCCAUGCAUGUCUAAGUACAAGCCGAUUUAAGGCGAAACCGCGAAUGGCUCAUUAAAUCAGCUAUGAUUCAUUGGAUCUGUACCCACACUUACUUGGAUAACUGUGGUAAUUCUAGAGCUAAUACAUGCACCACGUCUCUGACCGCAAGGGAAGAGCGCUUUUAUUAGUUCAAAACCGGUCGGGCCUCGGUCCGUCACCCCACCGUGUUGAAUCUGAAUAACUUGUCGCUGAGCGCACGGUCUCCGCACCGGCGCCGCCUCUUUCAAGUGUCUGCCUUAUCAGCUUUCGAUUGUAGGUUAUGCGCCUACAAUGGCUAUAACGGGUAACGGGGAAUCAGGGUUCGAUUCCGGAGAGGGAGCCUGAGAAACGGCUACCACAUCUAAGGAAGGCAGCAGGCACGCAAAUUACCCACUCCCGGCACGGGGAGGUAGUGACGAAAAAUAACGAUGCGAGACUCAUCCGAGGCCUCGCAAUCGGAAUGAGUACACUUUAAAUCCUUUAACGAGGAUCUAUUGGAGGGCAAGUCUGGUGCCAGCAGCCGCGGUAAUUCCAGCUCCAAUAGCGUAUAUUAAAGUUGUUGCGGUUAAAAAGCUCGUAGUUGGAUUUCAGUUCUGGACUGACGGUUCACCGCCCCGGUGCAUACUGUCACUCGUAUCCUCGUAACAGCCACAACAGCCCGCUGGCCUCGCACGGGGUGCCAUUCAUUCGUGACGUGUCCUCGCGUGGCCCGGCCAGAGGUUUACUUUUAGGUGUAAUAACUAUCUCUUUAGUUGCUGCCCUUAACAUUGACCACAUACCGGUCUUCACUACUUACGGCCUGUAAUGCUCUAUGCAAUGCACAUAACUGGAACUUAUAGGCACCCUCGCGUUCUAAUUCUGUCCUUUUGCUGGAACCCGAGUACUUAUGAUCUAAUAGGAACAGUGCUUUGUGUUUUUGUUUUGUUGGCAUUUCUGUAUUGCUGACCGCUAGAGGGUUGAUAAUUCCUUGGACCCGGUCGCAAGACGACACUAUCUUGCGAAAGUUCAUCCCAAGGAAUGUUUUAUAUUAUCAAGAAACGACAAGUUUAGAUGGUUCGAAAGGCGUAUCAGAUUCCUCGCCUAGUUCUAUAAACCAUAAAACGUCGACUGAGCCAAGGCGAUCCGCCGGCGUUGCAAUUCCUCAUAUGCACCCCGCGCGCAGCUUCCUUGCGGGAAACCAAAGUGUCUUUGUGGUUUACCGGGUCGUGCGUGCAUAUUAGCGCUUAUGGUUGUCGACACAAGUGUCUUAAUUCUUCCUACAUAUAUGAACUGUUGACUCGCUCUUAAGGGCACCACCAGGAGUGCGCAUGCGCUGCGGUGGCCAUCUCUUAAUCUUGAUCUUCACAUUUUACGACGGAACUCACCUCACCCUGCCAGACACCGGAUAGGAUUGACAGAAUUGAGGAGCUCUUUCUCGAUUUCGGUCAUACGUUCUUCUUGCCUACAGAUGGUUGGUGGUGCAUUGGCUCCCGUUCUUAAGAGUCUUUGGCAUUGGCAGCCGCAGGUCUUGUGUUCUGCGGUUUAUGGUAUUUCUCUCGAUAAUAAUUCUCAGACAAGCGCAGACUUCUGUGAGGUAUUCUCGCUAUACUUUAAAUUUUGACGUCGCACGGCCUAUCUCCUAGGCAAUUGGUUCCAUUGUUCUGCUAGCUUCUUCUUAGAGAGAUUAAGCUGUGCAUUUCUUUUUAUGCGCACUUGAGAAUUAGAUGCAAUAACAGGUCUGUGAUGCCCUUCAGAUGAUUUCUGGCCGCACUGCUGAGCUUGCGCUCCUCCAACAUAGUGCUAUACGGGCUAUCAACGUGUAUAUCUCACGCCCUCCCCGGAGUAGAUACAGCUUCCGGGUUUAAUUCCGUUUUCGUGUAUCCUCUCGUUAUGAUAGGGAUUGGGGUUUGCAAUUGUCUCCCGGAUUGAACGAGGGAAUUCCCAGUAGCGCAUAGUCUUAUUGGAGCUUG